rnacentral:rRNA from 1 species
AGCGAACGCUGGCGGCAGGCCUAACACAUGCAAGUCGAACGAACCCUUCGGGGUUAGUGGCGGACGGGUGAGUAACGCGUGGGAACGUGCCCUUUGGUACGGAAUAACUCAGGGAAACUUGAGCUAAUACCGUAUGUGCCCUUCGGGGGAAAGAUUUAUCGCCAUUGGAGCGGCCCGCGUCUGAUUAGCUAGUUGGUGAGGUAAAGGCUCACCAAGGCGACGAUCAGUAGCUGGUCUGAGAGGAUGAUCAGCCACAUUGGGACUGAGACACGGCCCAAACUCCUACGGGAGGCAGCAGUGGGGAAUCUUGCGCAAUGGGCGAAAGCCUGACGCAGCCAUGCCGCGUGAAUGAUGAAGGUCUUAGGAUUGUAAAAUUCUUUCACCGGGGACGAUAAUGACGGUACCCGGACAAGAAGCCCCGGCUAACUUCGUGCCAGCCGCCGCUGUAAUAC